rnacentral:lncRNA from 1 species
AUCGGAUAUUUUUACAGCUACAGAGAGUCAAGUCAAAGAAAGGACACGAAUUUAACAAGAAAUACAGAAAUGGUAGCAACUGGAUAUGCUAAGGUGGCUGUGAUCCUGUAAUCCAGAUAGAGAAAACGAAACUGGAAAUACAAGGAACUCCCCAUGGUCUCACCCAAGCCUGAAGUUAUGCCUCAUAUAGUAUACGCGGAUUUGAGGAGAGGGAGAGAGGGCAAGCAACAAGUCGGCCAAGUCCCAUGGGGAACUCCGGCAGGAUCUUAAAGGCUCAUUCCAUUACUAAGAAGAGAACACACAGGAAUCAAGAGCGUUAAAGAGAGUCCAACA